rnacentral:rRNA from 1 species
GAUCCUGGCUCAGGAUGAACGCUAGCGGCAGGCCUAACACAUGCAAGUCAAGGGGCAGCACGUUAAAGGGUUUACUCUUUAUGGUGGCGACCGGCGGACGGGUGCGUAACGCGUAUGCAACCUGCCUGACACAGGGGGAUAAUCCGAAGAAAUUUGGUCUAAUACCCCAUAAUACCGAUAUAGGCAUCUAUGUUGGUUGAAAGCUUUGGUGGUGUCAGAUGGGCAUGCGUUGUAUUAGCUAGUUGG